rnacentral:rRNA from 1 species
GACGAACGCUGGCGGCGCGCUUAACACAUGCAAGUCGAGCGAUGAAACUUUAACAGCACCCUUCGGGGCGUAGAUAAAGUGGAUUAGCGGCGGACGGGUGAGUAACACGUGAGUAACCUGCCUUAGACAUUGGGAUAGUCUCGGGAAACCGGGAUUAAUACCAAAUAAAAUAAUAAUGAAACAUGUCAUAACGCUCAAAACUCCGGUUGGCUAAUGUGGUCGCGAGUCCCAUUAGUAAGUUAGGAGAGUAAAAGCCUACCAAAGCUUGGAUGGGUAGCCGGCAUGUGAGGGUGAGCCGCGACAUUGGAACUGAGAAGCAGUCCAGACUCCUACAGGAAGGAGGAGUGCGUAAUAUUGCAAAAUGGAGUGAGCUCAGAUGCAGCUACGGUGGGUGAACGAAUAUGGCUGGCGAGUAGUAAAGUUCUUUUAUAUGGGAAGAUAAUGACGGUACCAAAAGAAAAAGCCCCGGCUAACUACGUG